GGAGGGUGGAGGCCGCCUUGGGGAACCUGCGGCAUGGGUGCACCCCAAACACCUUAUUUUUAGCUUUUUCUUGCUAUGCGUUUUUUUUCUCUGCCCCUGCAAGCCGUGGCAGCAUGGAGAGGGGUAAGUGCCCGGGGAGGGGAGGUGAGAGGUGGCCACUUGGCAUGGGCUCAGGCCUGGCCUUGCCACCAGCUGCCGCCACCGCCGCUGCUGCCGCUGCCAGGAGCUGCCGCUCCUGGGAGAUGUAGUUUGUCAGCAGACUGGUGCCGGGUGCAAUGGCCGCCGGGGAGGCACGGGCUCGGAGCAUGUGAGGUGCUGCCAGAGGAAUUAUUUGUGUUUUCAUUUCCACUUCUUCAGAUGUUUCUGCCCUGA
rnacentral:lncRNA from 1 species